GUGUGUGUGUCAGUGAAUGCGCAUCAUAAGCCAUGGGAAGUAUCCAGUGCGCUGCAUGCCGAAGGUACUGAUGAAGAGGUUGAGGACUGUGGUGAUGAAGACUAUGAUGCUUGUCACAUUGUUCAGAAGUGGAGUCGAGCCAGUAGCCAGCGGAAGAAGCCAGUCCUCUUGGAUCCGAAGAAGCUGACGAAGAAGUUAACCACCGUGGUGACGAAGAUAACGCCUGUAGCCAAGUUGUUCAGUUUUCUCUAGUUUCUUUAUUAGAAUCAUUCCCUACGUCAGAAAGUCAGAAAUGCAUCCUGGCAAAGAGGCCGGUGCGCUCCAUCCCG